ACGUAGGGUGCAAGCGUUGUCCGGAAUUAUUGGGCGUAAAGAGCUCGUAGGCGGUUUGUCGCAUCGGCUGUGAAAACCUGGAGCUCAACUCCAGGCCUGCAGUCGAUACGGGCAGACUUGAGUGUUGCAGGGGAGACUGGAAUUCCUGGUGUAGCGGUGAAAUGCGCAGAUAUCAGGAGGAACACCGGUGGCGAAGGCGGGUCUCUGGGCAACAACUGACGCUGAGGUGCGAAAGCGUGGGGAGCAAACAGGA
rnacentral:rRNA from 1 species